UGGAACCAUGAGCGGCCAGCGGGGAGGUGGGCCCAGUGUGUCAUGUCAUAUAAUAGCAGAAUGAAGUUGUAAUGUAAUUUUGGCAAUUAGAGUGAGGAUGGACCAGUUGCUACUCAGUGAUGCAUUGGAGUGUUCAGUGUGCUUGGAGCAGCUCGGUUCCACCUCCCGUGUUCUUCCAUGUCAACACACAUUCUGCCGCCGUUGUCUUAAUGAUAUUGUUCACACUCAUAAGGAACUAAGAUGUCCAGAAUGCCGCGUUUUAGUAGAGGUGCCUGUAGACGAACUCCCACCAAAUAUCUUGCUGAUGAGAAUUUUAGAAAGCAUGAAAAGUGUUCCACGGCCUGCAGUCAGCCAACCUUUGAAGCCGUCUCAGACAAUUCCUCAUCCUAGUCAGCCUCCUGGCAGGCCUGAAUCACUGGAUGGUCCUCCACUUACUCAAGCUCCUCCACCACCAUCACAUCAUGGUUCCAACUCGUACUCAGGAUCCUCCUCAACCACUUCUGAAGCUGCAUUGUCCUCUGCGGGAUAUUUGGUUGGGAUUGGUGGUGGAGGGACUGGAGGUCUAGGGGGUUCCUGUGGUGGAAAUGGAGUAGGUAGCAACAAUUUGGGAGGUGGAAGAGGAUAUGGGGAAUCUCUUGGGCGUGAAACAAACUCCAUUCAAGGCAGCACGAGUUCAGCAGUAUCUGGUGUCUCAUCUUUUGGCAACCUUAACAUAAGCAUCUCAACUUCAUCUCCUACCUCUCAACCAACAUUAUUACCUAAUGUGGUACAACAAAGACAGAUAUCAACCCUCCAACCCUGUGCAAAAGCCCUCUAUAAUUAUGAAAGAAAAGAAGCAAGGGACCUUAGUUUCAAAAAAGGAGAUAUAAUAAUGCUGGGGAAGAAGAUCGACUCCAACUGGUACCAGGGUGAACUCAAUAACCAAACAGGAUUUUUCCCCGCUUCUUAUGUUCAGGUUAUUACUCCACUUCCAAGCCACAUCCCUCAGUGUAAGGCUCUCUAUGACUUUAAGAUGACUAAUGAUGAAGAGAGAGAUUGCCUCACAUUUAGUAAGGGUGAAAUUCUCACUGUGCUAAGACGGGUCGAUGAAAACUGGGCUGAAGGUAAGCUCGGCUCUCGCAUCGGAAUAUUUCCUCUCUCCUUUGUCGAUCUUAACAGUGCUGGCAAAGCCCUUAUGAAGCUUUCCCUCAAUGCACAACAGGGCCCCUCGCGUGUUGCCCCUCCAACCCCCACUAGUUUAGAGGGGGAGUCCCCCACCCCCCUCAUACUGAGUGAGGGGAGUGGUCCUCCCUCAGCUCAAGCUCAUCCUCUCUCUCAGAUAGAGUCUUCAUCCUCAUCAUCAUCUGUGGUGACUAGCCCCGACCCCUCUCUACCUUCCCCGACCUCCACAUCUGCAUCCCCACCUAACAUUGGCCCCUCGCCCUCCUCCCCUAUAGUACCACCUUCAGCUGUAGCCCCUCUCCUGCGGGGGCCAAACACACGCCACCAGCGGGAGAAGAGGCACAGCUUCACUGCUGUGCGCACCCACAACCCCAGCCCCCCGCGAUCUCCUGCCUCCCCGCACAGACAUUCCUUAGAAAUUGUAAGCCCCACUGAGGAGCCUUCCAACCAUGGAUGUAAUGUAGGUUCUGCUGACUUUAGUGCUGGUGGGCCAGGACCUACACCAAAUGAUUCUCAGGAAGUCAUAGUUAGUGGAGAACAAACAACGGUAACGGAAUUUCAAGGAUCACCAAGAGUACGACCUGCUGUAGUUACAACAAGCUCUCUGGGGCUCUCUUCAUCUACUCCACAAGUGACAGCAACUACAUUUUAUGUUGCCUUGUACUCAUAUCGAGGACGAAAAGCUGACGAGCUAGAAUUAAGAAAAGGCUACAUAUACACAGUAACAGAAAAAUGCCAGGAUGGAUGGUACAAGGGACGCUGCAUUACGACGGAUAGAACUGGCGUCUUCCCGGGGAACUAUGUUCAAGUUGCCAAACCUCAGAUGAUUGCUGCAUACUUGGCAAAGCGCAACGCAAGAGGAUCGUCAAACCUGAAUCGCGAUAACAACGGUAGCGGAGGAUCCCUUGGAGGUAACAACAAUGGGGAAAACUUGUCUGGUACAUCAGCCGUUGUGAGCUACACGCGGCCCAGACCAAGCCUUAGUAGUGGAUCAGAUGGGAGAAACUGUGAAGGGUCUCGUGGUGAGAAUACAAGUCUCCUGGACACACCAGUCCAUUCUAUGGUACCCACACUCUCUCCAACUCACUCUUCGCCUCAUGCCGGGUCCCUCUUGCCUGGGGCGGCUGGUGGACUGGGUAGUAAUAGUCCUCCCUCAUCACUGCCACCGGAAUUGCCUCCCAGAUCUGUUAGUUCCUCUAUUGAUGGCUCUACACAUCGCUCAGUUGGACACACAUCAGCAUCUUGGCAUGCUUCAUCUCCUACUUCACAGGGCUUUUCCAGUAAUCAAAGAUCAAGUGGAAUAAGCAAUGCUGUCUCACCUCCGCCAAAUAUUGCUCUUGGUGAGAAUAGCUCCGUUGCUACUGGUAACUCCCCGUCUUCAAAAUCUGAUAAGAGAAGCACGAAGGAGCGAGGGGGGGGAAGUGGGGGGAUGAGCCUGAUGCGCAAGUUUACAAGUAGCGGUAAAAAAAAGAGCAAAUCUCCACCACCUUCGUAUUCAAUGGACAACCCAGUGUUUGAGGACUCUACAGUAUCCGCCAGUGUGCAACAUGUCCAUACUAGAUCAGGGUCAUGCCCAGGCACUCUGGUAGGUGGGGGUACAGGUGGUGUCUUGGUAACAAGCUUAGGCUUUGGUCCUAACUCUCGCCUUCGUGCUGCUGGGGGAUCCUGCCGUGUUCGAUCUCGUGAUCGACCUAAUCUCAUCCUCUCCAAUCUCAUGUUACGGGGAAGGACUGGCAGCAACCCAGACACAAGUGAAGUUGGUGAGGCACCUCAUCCUCCAUCAUCCUCUCCCCCAACUGCCAUCCAAACUACAGGUGAUGUCUCCACAGACACUGCCAGACGCAAAAAACAGCCGGCACCUCUUGUACGUGAAAGAUUCCGCUGCAUAGUGCCAUAUCCUCCAAACAGUGAAUAUGAACUAGAGUUGCAGCUGGGUGAUAUAAUUUAUGUCCACAAGAAACGAGACGAUGGUUGGUAUAAAGGAACUCUUCAGCGGACGGGCAAGACUGGUCUUUUUCCUGCUAGUUUUGUUGACUCAUGUUAGCUGAAAUAAGUGCCAGCAAAAACUUAUGUUAGUAAGCGAACUCCAUAAAAAGUAUUUGUGCUGAUUCUUGGUCUUCAUAGAGUAACUAUAAUGUAUAGCUAAGCUUUUCUAGCAGACGUAAUGGAUGUUUGGAAGAUUUUGAUACUUUUGUAGCUGCAUGAAAUCAUGAAAAUAACCCAUUUAUGAGAAUAAUUGUGGCUCCUGUGAUGUAGAGUUAUGUUAUGUCAUGCUGAUCAGCAUGACAUCUUGGUGAUCAUUUAUAGUGUCUCUCAUCAGUUGAAACAUGAUAUCAUAUUCUGUAUGCAGUGUUUAUUUGGUCUGCUUCAGCUAUAUAUUUGUUAUAAUUAGUAAUUUUUGGAUUAUUCAAAUCACUUUGGUUAAAGAGUGGACUAAGCUAUCUAGAACUUAAUAUAAUCUCUUAUAAUAAAUUGCUGAAAAGAGCUAUUAUUCUUAGGCCUCUAUUUACAAAAAAUGUGUAGUACCUUAUAAGCAAGUAAUUGUUACUAAAACGUACUAAGGUGUACAUUUGUGGUGUUGUGAGCUGAUGGUGCUGUGUUAGUGUGUGUAGUUGGUGGGUCAGUUAGUGUUGAAGGGUGUGAACUUCAAUUUGGUAUUUUGCUUUCAAGGAUUGGUGAUAUGUUGAUGCUCAGAUCUGCCAUUUUUAGAUUAACCUAAGUGUUCAUGAAGCCUAUUAUCAGCUGCAGGAAGUGAUAAGUUCCUAAUUGUUACUUAAAGGAAAGCUAUUGAGCAAAACUUUGCUUGCUCUGUAUUUUCUUCAGCUAUUACUGCUAGCCACUAUAUCAAAGAACAAAUCAAAGAAAAUUAAAUGAAUCCAUAUAUCUGUGGACUGGCAAAGCUAAGUCAAGGUUUAUUGAGUAUUUAAAAUUCACAAUUUGUAGUUUUGUUUUAAAUACAGUAUACACACAAUAUUUAAUGACUACUAAGGCCUGAGAGAUGUCAAUGGAUGUGAGUUGUCUUGUAAGAUCUUAGAGAAGCUUGGUUAAGAACAAAAGAAUUAAAGGAACUGCAGACUGCGUAUUGGCCCGUACGAGACAGCUCCUAUUUAUGUCCAAUCAAACUCAUUCAUCUAUAUGUCUAACGUACAUUUGAAACAAUCAAGUGAUGCUAUGUCUAUUAUGUUAUCUGGCUUUAGUAUGGAUCUUUAUAUUUCUGGACUGUUUUUUUUAAUGUGCAUCAAAAUUAUAUUCAUGAGUCACAUAUAUUACAUAAACAAAAAAGACUAAUGACAUAACUUAUAGUUGUAUAACACAAACUAUUUGUAUUUCAUGAGUGGCCAUGAUUAACACAUUUUAAGAAUGUAAAGUUGUGAUUUAUUUAUCUUGAUCAACGUGUAAGUAGCUCUGAUGAAGACGGAACAAAUGACUUCAUGUGACUACCGUACUCUACAGUAACGAUUUAAGAUAAGAAGAAACUUUAGACUGAACAUACCAGUAGAAAGCAAGGUGUUGCCUCAGGCUGACAGGUUUUAUAUUAAUAUUACUGCAGGUGUUUAUGCCAGUUGUGUGUGGAGGUGUUUGUGCCAGUUGUGAGUGGAGGUGUUUGUGCCAGUUGUGAGUACAGGUGUUUGUGCCAGUUGUAAGUGGAGGUGUUUGUGCCAGUUGUGAGUACAGGUGUUUGUGUCAGUUGUGAGUACAGGUGUUUGUGCCAGUUGUGAGUACAGGUGUUUAUGCCAGUUGUGAGUGGAGGUGUUUGUGCCAGUUGUGAGUGGAGGUGUUUGUGCCAGUUGUGAGUACAGGUGUUUGUGCCAGUUGUGAGUACAGGUGUUUGUGCCAGUUGUAAGUGGAGGUGUUUGUGCCAGUUGUGAGUACAGGUGUUUGUGCCAGUUGUGAGUACAGGUGUUUGUGCCAGUUGUGAGUACAGGUGUUUGUGCCAGUUGUGAGUGGAGGUGUUUGUGUCAGUUGUGAGUACAGGUGUUUGUGUCAGUUGUGAGUACAGGUGUUUGUGCCAGUUGUGAGUACAGGUGUUUGUGCCAGUUGUGAGUGCAGGUGUUUAUGCCAGUUGUGAGUAUAGGUGUUUGUGCCAGUUGUGAGUACAGGUGUUUGUGUCAGUUGUGAGUACAGGUGUUUGUGUCAGUUGUGAGUGCAGGUGUUUAUGCCAGUUGUGAGUGGAGGUGUUUAUGUCAGUUGUGAGUGCAGGUGUUUAUGCCAGUUGUGAGUGCAGGUGUUUAUGCCAGUUGUGAGUGCAGGUGUUUAUGCCAGUUGUGAGUGCAGGUGUUUAUGCCAGUUGUGAGUGCAGGUGUUUAUGCCAGUUGUGAGUGCAGGUGUUUAUGCCAGUUGUGAGUGCAGGUGUUUAUGCCAGUUGUGAGUACAGGUGUUUAUGCCAGUUGUGAGUACAGGUGUUUAUGCCAGUUGUGAGUGCAGGUGUUUAUGCCAGUUGUGAGUGCAGGUGUUUAUGCCAGUUGUGAGUACAGGUGUUUAUGCCAGUUGUGAGUGCAGGUGUUUAUGCCAGUUGUGAGUGCAGGUGUUUAUGCCAGUUGUGAGUGCAGGUGUUUAUGCCAGUUGUGAGUGCAGGUGUUUAUGCCAGUUAUGAGUGCAGGUGUUUAUGCCAGUUGUGAGUGCAGGUGUUUAUGCCAGUUGUGAGUGCAGGUGUUUUAUUUGCCAUUAUUUUAUGAGCAAGAUAAUUGUUUUUAUUAAUAUAUAAAUUUAAGGUCCCAAUAAUUUUUGUCUGUUGAGAAUACCGAAAGCAAAUGUAGUCAUGACAUAUUUGAUAAGAAUUUUGUGACACUUUCAUGUGUGUUUAUUCAUUUUUCAGGUUUUAUAUUUAACUAACAAGAUUUAUAUUUGCUAUUUGUAAAGCCCGGCUUCUUAUGAUUUAAAUUCAAGACUAAUUUAAGGAUUUAGAUGUAGUACAGUUUUUGAAACUUUAUGAAUUGUGUAUUUUGUAAUGAGUGAUGAAUGUGUUGGCUUUGUUUAACUAGAGAACAAUGUGACACUACAUGCACCUUCCACAUUACUAAGUUCAAAUAUUUAUGGCUUAGAACUAUGAAAACUAGAAUGUGUAUUUUGUUUUUAACAAAUAUAGAACAGACUGCCUAAUAUACACCAGCAAAGGGAAUGUCUUCCUCUUCUCCACAAAAGUUACCAAAAGGUAGUGGACACAAAAUUUUUAAGAUAAAAUAUGUUCUUUUAACUUACAUAAAGUAGAAUACUGCCCUUGCAACACAAGUACCAACAACACACAACAUUCAUUCAUUCACUCAUUCAUUCAUUCAUUCAUUCAUUCAUUCAUGCAUACAUAUAUACAUGUAUAAAUAAUGUGUGUAUAUGUAUACACACACAUACAUAAAUGUAUACUGUGUGUAUGCCAUAACCAUUUAAAAAUGGGAAACUUCAUAUUACAAAAACUAUAUGGAAGACAAGACACUACUAUAUGCUAUACUGUAUUUAGGUACAGUAUAUAUACCCUUGGGUAAUUGUAUACUCAUACAAAUUAAAUAGAUUUAGACAUGCUAUAAAAUGGGCCCCUUGGACCUAAAGUACAAGAGCAAGGAGAGAGAGAGAGAAUGUUAAAUAUACCAAAACCAGUAGAUAAGAAAAAGCCGAUAACACCUCAUGCAAAAUUGUGACAGAAAAACAAAAUUGACAUAGUAAAUUUGCUUUACAAUUAUAUCUCAAGGCUGAUAAAUUGUAUGAAAUAAAUUGGUUUAAAAGAAUCAAACUUUUUGUUAGGUCUGGUGUGGUUCUGUAGUAGACAGUUGAGUGUUGAUGGGUUUCCAGCCGUAGUGGUGUUGCCUCGGAAGCUUUCGAAGACGCCACGGACAAUGAAAUCGUCUUUACCAUACCCAUCUUCCAGCAACAAAUUCCUUACUGGGAUUUCUACGCUAUCAUUCGUAAUGUAAUCCACAACCUCUGGGAAGGGGGGAGAGAUCUGGUUACUAACUGCUCACCAGAAAUCCUGCACUUAACAAAUGUGACCUAUCACUGAAAUUCUUCCUGUCACUGAAAUAAAAAGUGUAUAUAAUAUAUACGACUAUAAAAAAUAUAUAUAUAGAGUACAGACAAUGCUAUACUGUAUUAUCAUCUUGGCAUGGCACUUACUCUUUAACAGUUUUAUUGGCAAAACAGAAGUUUGAAUUUCAUAAACCAGUAGAGUGUGUAGAGAAUGAUCAUCACAUUAUUGAAAAAAAACAGUAUUAUGAAAGUAAUUAUUUAAAUCCAGUGAAAAUUGUGACUAAAAAAAACUGGAUGAAUUGAUUACUAUUUAGUAUAGGGUUCCCCAAAGUUAUCCUUGUCAUUCAUAGCCUUUAUUUAAAAAAGUUAUUAAAAUUGUGAGGCAGAGAGUGUGAAGACUAAUGCAUUGCUUACCUUUCCAGUAAUACGUUAAGUUUAUCUCCUUGUCCAAUAUGCUACCAUAAAUAGUGUUUUUACUGGUUCUUCUUCACCUACUCCACAUACACACACACAUUAACAUCACCGUAUAUCUUCAUUACAAGGCCAUUAUUGACUACCCAUACAUGUCUCCCAUUUUCAUACUUUACUCCUCCAAUUAUAAUAAUAGUGUGAUCACACACAAGUUACAGCUAACCAUAUAAAUACAGUAUACGUAAACUUGGCAGGUUCCUUUAUAGUACGCACAGCCUUUUUGAGGCAAAUUUAAUUGCACUACAUUUCAAUUGCAAUAUAAUGACUGAUCAAAGUUUGAGAUUCCUUACAUAUAAAGACCAACAUUCACCAAGAUAAAAUGCAUUAAAAUAAGUCACAUUAAAUUGUUACAAAUCAAUUUUAAGUUGACAUUUUGACCUCUACCAAUUAUGAGUACAAUAUUAUUAUACAUAAUUUGAUUGAUACCCAAAAUAUAUGGGCAACUGUUGUGUUAUAAUUUGUUUCAUAUUUAGUUUAUUUUUGUGUAAUUUACAUAAAGAAAUUUAACAAAAAAAAAAAAAAGAUGAAUUUACAUUGGCGAGGUAAAUCAUUUAUAAACUGUAUACAAAUAUUUAAAAAUAAAUUAUCAGCGUAAAUUAUAUGUAUUAGUGUACUUUACUAGAAUGUUAAGGGGUUUGGUUUGCCAUUGUUGGGGACAGGAAAGGUACUUGGUAUAUUGAGAUACCCUUGGCCAGCUGACUGACCUUUGAGAUGCAACCCACUACAGUCUACAAAUAUCCAGGUACUCAUUUACUGCUAGACAAACACACACGCACACACAUUGGGAUGUAAGGAAACACUUCCAAACAUCUCGCCUCACUUGACAAUUGAUUCCCAGACCAAACUGUUGUAAGACAACGUCACUGAAAAGUAAAAUGUGUUUGAUAAAAAUAAGCAUUGUUUAAUAGUAAAGGUUUAGUUGUCUUUUGAAUUUGGGUUAUACAGAAUAUUUAUAUAGAAUUUCAAGUACCCAGUAGUUCUGUAUAGUAAAAUGAAUGAAAAAAUAUGCAUUUGUUGCAUCGAAUAGUCAGAUAUUUUAUAAUCACAAAAAUGUCAUGGUUUUCUCUGUACGGUACUUUAAUAUUUAAUAUUAUUGGUUGUCACUAUUUAAAAUUAUUUUAUUCGGGAUUUGAAUACUCCAUCAGCUAAAAUGAACAGUGCUCUAUAACCACACCAACUUGUUACUUUCUUUUGAUAAUUACUUAUUUGAAUACUAAGUCACUUUGAAUAAGUUGAACUAUCACCAAGUACAUUUUCCCACUCGCCAAAAUUGGUAGGCCUUCCGUACAUUAUUGUGUUUACAGUCUGAACACACUAGUUGCCAGUCGUAACAAUACGCGGCCGUUAUACUUCUCUUUAUGUACCACUUCCUGCUUCUUCCCAUUCAAAUAAUGUACAGUACAUAGAAACUGCCCCUCUGUGAACUUUCAAACUUUGAUCUUGCUUAUAUUAAUAUUAUAUUAAUUCAUAUGCUUCAUAAUUAGUCAUCCUCAGAUUGGGAAUUCAUAUUGGUAAUAACUUUUAUUUUUUGUUUUAUCAAGUGGUCAUAGUAAUAUCUUUAAGUUGAUUUGAAAUAUUUGAACAAGUGAAGGAUACGUGACUUUACAAACGAUUCUUGUUGCAACAAGUACUGUACACAAAACUUUAACACACACACACUACCACAUGUCUGUAUGUCUGUAAUUUAGAUUCUUGAGUUUAAGUUGGUAAUACUGUAUAUACAUUGGUCAUUGGUCAGUAUUAUUAUCUUUCUUUCUCGGUAUUGCCACAUCUGAUUAUUAUUAUUAUUAUUAUUAUUAUUAUUAUUAUUACUAUAUUAUUAUUAUAAUUAUUACUAUAUUAUUAUUAUAAUUAUUAUUACUGUAUUAUGAUUUAUUAUAAUAAUAAUAAUAAUUAUUAUUAUUAUUAUUUUUAUGGGUGCUAUUGUAGUUAUUCCCAGUAUGAAUACCUUAUUGUUUCAUCUUUUCUUGCGUUUCCAUUCAAUGUUAUAAGAAUAGCUGUGGGAAGUGUUGGUACCACCUCCUUGAUGAUGGCUCCAUGGGUCACGCUAACACUGGAACAAUCACAUCAAACAUUGAUGCAGCGUAAAAGUCACACAUUGUACUGACUUGAAACUUCAUUAAAUUUUGAGCCAAAACAUAUGGGUGCUAUUGAAAUUAAGCUUUGCCGAUUUGAAACCUACAUUUAUGUACAGGGAUUAUCAUUACAUUGAACUUGCUUUUGUUAUUGAAUAGGUACCCAAGUAUCAUUUUAUUUUUGUUUAGUUCUUAGAAGAGAAAUGAGAGAUUAUCAUCACAAAGUGUGGUUGUCAUCCCUUGCCUUACUACCAAAACAACAACAACAACUUGCCCACCAACACCCCCCAUCCCCUUAACACUUUCGCGCUCUCGGCGCUCAAAAAAAAACAAUACCCCAGAUGCUUUCGGCACUUCGCGCGCCUACGCGGUAAG
rnacentral:misc_RNA from 1 species